rnacentral:rRNA from 1 species
UAAGCGCCGGUAAGGUGAUAUGAACCGUUAUAACCGGCGAUACCCGAAUGGGGAAACCCAGUGUGACUCGUCACACUAUCAUUAACUGAAUCCAUAGGUUAAUGAGGCGAACCGGGGGAACUGAAACAUCUAAGUACCCCGAGGAAAAGAAAUCAACCGAGAUUCCCCCAGUAGCGGCGAGCGAACGGGGAGGAGCCCAGAGCCUGAAUCAGCAUGUGUGUUAGUGGAAGCGUCUGGAAAGGCGCGCGAUACAGGGUGACAGCCCCGUACACAAAAGCGCAUGUGCUGUGAGCUCGAUGAGUAGGGCGGGACACGUGGUAUCCUGUCUGAAUAUGGGGGGACCAUCCUCCAAGGCUAAAUACUCCUGACUGACCGAUAGUGAACCAGUACCGUGAGGGAAAGGCGAAAAGAACCCCGGCGAGGGGAGUGAAAAAGAACCUGAAACCGUGUACGUACAAGCAGUGGGAGCACAGGUUUACCUGUGUGACUGCGUACCUUUUGUAUAAUGGGUCAGCGACUUAUAUUCUGUAGCAAGGUUAACCGAAUAGGGGAGCCGGAGGGAAACCGAGUCUUAAU